rnacentral:sRNA from 13 species
GCCGGGCAUGGUGGCGCGUGCCUGUAAUCCCAGCUACUCAGGAGGCUGAGGCGGGAGAAUUGCUUGAACCCAGGAGGCGGAGGUUGCGCUGAGCCGAGAUCGCGCCAUUGCACUCCAGCCUGGGUAACAAGAGCGAAAUUCCGUCUCUA